rnacentral:rRNA from 1 species
UACAGGGGGUGCAAACGUUGCUCGGAAUCAUUGGGCGUAAAGCGCACGUAGGCGGUCUGUUAUGUCGGAUGUGAAAGCCCUUGGCUCAACUGAGGAAGUGCAUCCGAAACUGGCAGGCUAGAGUACUAAAGAGGAUCGCGGAAUUCCCGGUGUAGAGGUGAAAUUCGUAGAUAUCGGGAGGAACACCAGUGGCGAAGGCGGCGAUCUGGGCUGAUACUGACGCUGAGGUGCGAAAGCGUGGGGAGCAAACAGG